rnacentral:snRNA from 1 species
UAAAAUUGGAAUGAUACAGAGAAGAUUAGCAUGGCCCCUGCUCAAGGAUGACAUGUAAAUUUAUGAAGCAUUUCAUAUUUUU